CUGACAAAUAUCCUCUGAGUAAAACUAAGGAAGGACGUCAGCUAUCAUCAGGGGGACUUGUGUGCCCCAGAGCCUACAGGGUGCUCAGGGACUGCAAGAAGAUCUUCCUUCCAGAAACAUUCAGUGGCACCUCCCCUUCUCCGACACUCUGCCGGGCCAUGGAAUUGCAGAGAAGAACGGGAGGGGGCCCUUGCCCUGAAGAACUCACAGUGAAGAUUAGAGCCAUCACCCAAAUUACAUGGACUUCAAAGAAAGCAGACCUGGAUGCAAAAUUCCACUUCUCUUACUUCCCAGUCACACGACCACAGGACUUAAGACUCCCUGUCCAGUUCAGGCCGGUUGAGACCACCAACCCAUCAAGUGGGCCUGCGCAGGUGUCCAGUAAGUGACCUUUUCAUGUCAAGAAGCUAAAAACUCCAGCCUCAGAUCACAUGCUAAUGCCACCAUUUUCUGAACAUGCCUCCUAUGAAGAGACAUGAAAUCUGACUAGGCUUGCACAAAUCCUCAGUUACCUCACCUCUCCUCACCUCCAAUCAUCUAUCUCCAUACUUCAGACCACCUUGCUCCUCUACCCCAUAAAUAUCCCUGAACCCCCACUUUUGGGGAACUUGAGGCUCAUUCUCUCGCUUCCUCACUUG
rnacentral:lncRNA from 1 species